rnacentral:rRNA from 1 species
AGGACGAACGCUGGCGGCGUGCUUAACACAUGCAAGUGGAGCGACGAACCAGGGCUUGCCCUGGGGCAGAGCCGCGAACGGGUGAGUAACACGUGGGUUACCUGCCUCGAUGACCGGGACAACCCGAGGAAACUCGGGCUAAUACCGGAUGUGCCCGCAAGGGGAAAGGAAGCUUCGGCCUCCGCAUUGAGAUGGGCCCGCGGCCCAUUAGCUUGUUGGUGAGGUAACGGCUCACCAAGGCUUCGAUGGGUAGCUGGUCUGAGAGGACGAUCAGCCACACUGGGACUGAGACACGGCCCAGACUCCUACGGGAGGCAGCAGUGGGGAAUCUUGCGCAAUGCGCGAAAGCGUGACGCAGCAACGCCGCGUGGGGAAGAAGGCUUUCGGUUGUAAACCCUUUCAGUUGGGACGAAGCUUCGUCGAUGAAUAGUCGACUGGAGUGACGGUACCUUCACAAGAAGCACCGGCUAACUACGUGCCAGCAGCCGCGGU